AGGAUAAACGCUGGCGGCGUGCCUAACACAUGCAAGUCGAACGUCCUACGCGCAAGCGUAGGGAGUGGCGGACGGGUGAGUAACACGUGGGCAAUCUACCUUUCGGUGAGGAAUACCGGCGAGAAAUCGCCGACAAGACCGCAUACGCUCGGGCAACCGAGCAAAGUCGCAAGACGCCGGAGGAGGAGCCUGCGCCCGAUUAGCUAGUUGGUGAGGUAAGAGCUUACCAAGGCGACGAUCGGUAGCUGGUCUGAGAGGAUGAUCAGCCACACUGGGAUUGAGAACGGCCCAGACUCCUACGGGGGGCAGCAGUGAGGAAUUUUCGUCAAUGGGGGCAACCCUGAACGAGCAACGCCGCGUGCAGGAUGACGCUUUUCGGAGUGUAAACUGCUUUUCUCGGGGAAGAGCAAGGACGGUACCCGAGGGAAUCAGCCCCGGCUAACUACGCGCCAGCAGCCGC
rnacentral:rRNA from 1 species